rnacentral:tRNA from 1 species
GGGGUUGUGGCUCAGUGGUAGAGUACUUGCUUAGCAUGUGUGAGGCACUGGGUUAGAUCCCCAGCACCA